rnacentral:rRNA from 1 species
CUUGGUCAUUUAGAGGNAGUAAAAGUCGUAACAAGGUUUCCGUAGGUGAACCUGCGGAAGGAUCAUUAUCGAAAUUAUUGGUGAGGGUUGUAGCUGGCCUUUCGAGGCAUGUGCACGCUCGAGCCCUUAAUCCACUUUACACCUGUGCACUUAAUGUAGGUCGCCCUUAAAAAAGGUGACCUAUGUCUUAUCAUCAACCCAUCGUAUGUCUCAUAGAAUGUAAUCGAUAUCCUCGCCCUAAAAAAGCGUUGAUAAACUUAUACAACUUUCAACAACGGAUCUCUUGGCUCUCGCAUCGAUGAAGAACGCAGCGAAAUGCGAUAAGUAAUGUGAAUUGCAGAUUUUCAGUGAAUCAUCGAAUCUUUGAACGCACCUUGCGCUCCUUGGUAUUCCGAGGAGCAUGCCUGUUUGAGUGUCAUUAAAUUCUCAACUCCAAGGGUUUCACGACCUUUCGGAGAUUGGACUUGGAGGUGCUGGCCGCAUAUUGGUCGGCUCCUCUCAAAUGCAUCAGCGGAAUUCAACCUUUGGCUUCCGGAUGUCAGUGUGAUAAUCAUGUUGCGCUGUCGUUUGAUCCCUCAGAGUCCGCUUAUAAUGGUCUUCGGACAAAAUCAUCAUCAAAUUUGACCUCAAAUCAGGUAGGACUACCCGCUGAACUUAAGCAUAUCAAUAAGCGGAGGA